rnacentral:rRNA from 1 species
CGCCGGAAAGGGGACGAAGCGACGUCGCGUGGGUGAGGAAAGCCUUCGGGGUGUGAGAGCUGUGAGGGGUGAAGAAAAGUGGACUCGCGAAUAUCGGGGCUAUUUGAGAAAGGGGCCAAAGGAAGCGCCGGGGAACUCUGUGCGACCGGCCGCGGGAAAACAGAGAGGGGAAGCGUGGUGCGGAAUAUUUGGGGGUAAGAAGAGCGUGGGGGGGUUUGUGAGUCAAAGAUGAAAGCCUUUUGUUCAACGGAAGAAUUGCAUCUGAGAAAAUAACCUUGAGUGUAGGAGGGGGAAUGGAACUUCUGGUGGAGCGGUGAAAAGCGGAGAUAUCAUAAGGAAGGCCGGCGGCGAAAGCGAUUCUCUGGCCUAUUACUGACACUCAGUGUGCGAAAGCUAGGGAAGCAAACGGAAUUAAAUACCCCGGUAGUCCUAGCCGUAAACGAUGGGCACUAAGUAGAGGGG